rnacentral:tRNA from 1 species
UGGGAUGUCACUCUGUGGUAGAGCACUAGUCUAUCACGCAUGAGGUUCUAAGUUCAAUCCUUAGUAUCGCAA